AUUGAACGCUGGCGGCAGGCCUAACACAUGCAAGUCGAGCGGAUGAAGGGAGCUUGCUCCUGGAUUCAGCGGCGGACGGGUGAGUAAUGCCUAGGAAUCUGCCUGGUAGUGGGGGAUAACGUCAGGAAACGGGCGCUAAUACCGCAUACGUCUUGCGUGAGAAAGUGGGGGAUCUUCGGACCUCACGCUAUCAGAUGAGCCUAGGUCGGAUUAGCUAGUUGGUGGGGUAAAGGCCUACCAAGGCGACGAUCCGUAACUGGUCUGAGAGGAUGAUCAGUCACACUGGAACUGAGACACGGUCCAGACUCCUACGGGAGGCAGCAGUGGGGAAUAUUGGACAAUGGGCGAAAGCCUGAUCCAGCCAUGCCGCGUGUGUGAAGAAGGUCUUCGGAUUGUAAAGCACUUUAAGUUGGGAGGAAGGGCAGUAAGUUAAUACCUUGCUGUUUUGACGUUACCAACAGAAUAAGCACCGGCUAACUUCGUG
rnacentral:rRNA from 1 species